CAUAACCAUACCUCUGGAGCAAUUUGAACUGCUAAGAAGACCCCUAUUCAGAAUGGAAUCUACUAUUAAUGAAUUGACAGAUUCAGAAUGUUUGAUGGGUGUUACAAUUAAUGAAUUGACAGACUCAGAAUGUUUGAG